GAGGAUGCGAGCGUUAUCCGGAUUCAUUGGGUUUAAAGGGUGCGUAGGCUGUGGCUCAAGUCAGCGGUGAAAUUCCCGUGCUCAACACGGGCCGUGCCGUUGAUACCGCGCCACUGGAGUACGGACGCCGCCGGAGGAAUGAGUGGUGUAGCGGUGAAAUGCAUAGAUAUCACUCAGAACACCGAUUGCGAAGGCAUCCGGCGAGGCCGUCACUGACGCUGAGGCACGAAAGCGUGGGGAUAGAA
rnacentral:rRNA from 1 species